rnacentral:lncRNA from 1 species
UUUAUCUCUCUCAAACCUUGAUCUCCCAGAAGAGGUCUCUGGCAGUUCUUUCAUUGAUUCAUCUGUACCAGUUUCUUUAUUACUCUUUAGGACGUUUUGAUUGGCUACCUUGAGUAGUAGAGGUGCUUUAGGGUGUGGCAUUCCUUGUUGCUGCCUCAUCAUCCGUCCGUAGUUUCGCUGGAAACGCCUUUGUUGAGUCCUGGUCAUCUCAUCGAAGGGUAUUGCUCUUCCUGCAGUGUACUGGAAUGAAUGCCAUACAUUUGGCCGGCGAGGUUGCG